rnacentral:rRNA from 1 species
AUUGAACGCUGGCGGCAGGCCUAACACAUGCAAGUCGAACGAGUGGCGGACGGGUGCGUAAUGUCUGGGAAACUGCCUGAUGGCGGGGGAUAACUACUGGAAACGGUAGCUAAUACCGCAUACCAUCAGAUGUGCCCAGAUGGGAUUAGCUUGUUGGUGUGGUAACGGCUCACCAAGGCGACGAUCCCUAGCUGGUCUGAGAGGAUGGCCAGCCACACUUGAACGAAAGCACGGUCCAGACUCCUACGGGAGGCAGCAGUGGUGAAUAAUGCACAAAGGGCGCAAGCCUGAUGCAGCCAUGCCGCGGGUAUGAAGAAGGCCUUCGGGUUGUAAAGUACUUUCAGCGGGGAGGCGUUACCCGCAGAAGAAGCACCGGCUAACUCCGUGCCAGCCGCCGCGGUAAUUC